CCUUACCUGGGUUUGACAUGUCGGUGGUAGCGAACCGAAAGGGAGUGACCCCGCAAGGGGAGCCGACACAGGUGCUGCAUGGCUGUCGUCAGCUCGUGUCGUGAGAUGUUGGGUUAAGUCCCGCAACGAGCGCAACCCUCGCCCCUAGUUGCCAGCGGGUCAUGCCGGGAACUCUAGGGGGACUGCCCCGGUUAACGGGGAGGAAGGUGGGGAUGACGUCAAGUCAUCAUGGCCUUUAUGCCCAGGGCCACACACGUGCUACAAUGGCCGGUACAAAGGGUUGCAAACCCGUGAGGGGGAGCCAAUCCCAAAAAGCUGGUCCCAGUUGGGAUCGCAGUCUGCAACUCGACUGCGUGAACGCGGAAUCGCUAGUAAUCGCGAAUCAGCAGGUCGCGGUGAAUACGUUCCCGGGUCCUGUACACACCGCCCGUCACACCACGAAAGCCGACUGUACUUGAAGUCGCUGGGCUAACCCGCAAGGGAGGCAGGCGCCGAAGGUAUGAUCGGUGAUUGGGGUGAAGUCGUAACAAGGUAAGCGUAGAUGA
rnacentral:rRNA from 1 species